rnacentral:pre_miRNA from 1 species
UCUCAUGAUGUGACUCUCUAGAGGGAAGUGCUUUCUGUUGGCUAAAAAAAUAGGAAGCGCUUCUCUUUAGAGUGUUACGCUUUGAGA